rnacentral:rRNA from 1 species
UACGAGGGGGGCAAGCGUUGUUCGGAAUUAUUGGGCGUAAAGGGCGCGUAGGCAGUUUGGCAAGUCUAGUGUGAAAUCUUCGGGCUCAACUCGAAGUCUGCACUGGAAACUGCCGGGCUUGAGUAUGGGAGAGGUGAGUGGAAUUUCCGGUGUAGCGGUGAAAUGCGUAGAUAUCGGAAGGAACACCUGUGGCGAAAGCGGCUCACUGGACCAUAACUGACGCUGAGGCGCGAAAGCUAGGGGAGCAAACAGG